GAUGAACGCUGGCGGCGUGCCUAAUACAUGCAAGUCGAGCGAACAGAUGAGAAGCUUGCUUCUCUGAUGUUAGCGGCGGACGGGUGAGUAACACGUGGGUAACCUACCUAUAAGACUGGGAUAACUCCGGGAAACCGGGGCUAAUACCGGAUAAUAUUUUGAACCGCAUGGUUCAAUAGUGAAAGACGGUUUCGGCUGUCACUUAUAGAUGGACCCGCGCCGUAUUAGCUAGUUGGUAAGGUAAUGGCUUACCAAGGCGACGAUACGUAGCCGACCUGAGAGGGUGAUCGGCCACACUGGAACUGAGACACGGUCCAGACUCCUACGGGAGGCAGCAGUAGGGAAUCUUCCGCAAUGGGCGAAAGCCUGACGGAGCAACGCCGCGUGAGUGAUGAAGGACUUCGGAUCGUAAAACUCUGUUGUUAGGGAAGAACAAAUCUGUUAGUAACUGAACAAGUCUUGACGGUACCUAACCAGAAAGCCACGGCUAACUACGUGCCAGCCGCCGCAGUAA
rnacentral:rRNA from 1 species